GUGAAGACGGAUCUAGACAGAAAGAGAUGAGGUUGAUUAAGGUUGGGUUAUGUUUGCUCUGUCUCUUUAACGUCUCUCUAGGACUCUUUCUCUUGCUCUCCUCUUGGCUCCGGAAGGAAACCUAGUCCAUAUAGAUAUCUCCCCAUCCACCCAUGUUCAUGGUAAGAAGAACGAUAUUCUGUAAUUGUUUCUUCGUAUAGUCACUUACACUAAGAUGUACAUUUUUAGAUUAUUCUGAUACGGUUGAUAUCUACAUUUACAAGGGUACAAGAAACACAUAUGAAUGUUGUAUAUUAUUUUUACAUGUUUUUCUAGAUUGAUAUGAAGGUUGACUGGUUGAUGUUAUAUUCCAAUCUAUGUAAAUUCCUUAGUAGUCUCGUGGGGCAAACGUGUCGAACGAAGUCAUGAGGCUACCGGAUUGUAAGCUGUAAGUACAACGUACCAAUCACAAUCCCAGUUACGAGAUUAUAACUAUUUUUUUUUUGCAAAUGCGAGAUUAUAACUAUUGAUUAGAGGAAUUGAAAACUUAUAUCAGUUGUAGUAGAUUUUUUUCUAAAUAUAUAUAUUUCAUCCAACCAAUGGAUGAUUAAUAAGAGAGGACCAUUGUAAUACCCCCGUCUUAAAAAAAAAAAAAAAAACCCUAAUUUCGGUUUAUGGAAUUUCUCGGGGAAGCCGAAGGUUCGGGAAAUUUUUAUCCUUAAGGUUAAGGUUAGUCUGGAAUCUAUUAAAAAUAUUGAGCUCAUCAGAACGGGAGCGGAAGAAUAUUCAGGAUUGAUCGCGGGACGAAAAUUCACCAAAAGGGCCGAAAUCGCGCAAAUCGAACGAGAAGCUCGAGGUGGCUUGAUCUAAUGGAUCAGGACGUUGUCUCAACCAUUAAACCUGCUGAGUGUCAACACAAUAAGGAGGUGUAGACAUGCAUGAAGCAGUUCCAUGCAGCUCGACACACAGAAGCACGAGGUGUCGCAGUACCUGCGAUCUGCGCAUGCGAACCGACAUGCAGAGGCCCGUGUGUCGCGAUGCAUGAACACCAGACAUGCUGAAGGGCAAGUGGACGUGGAGGUAUCUUCUGGCUCGGCCAGGAAAUGUAUAUUUAUUUGUUUCCUAGGCGACAGUCAUGAGACCUGCGACCAUGAUUGGCACAGAGGACAGAAUCUUGAACCCCUGGGCAAUGUUCGUUAAAAAAUAUGGUUUCUUCCCGCUCAUAGGUGGUGGCACCAACAAGUAUGUCCUAAACCUUUGUCUAGUUCUUUUCACCGGUUUUCUUACCCUAACCAUAACUUAAUUGCAGAUUCCAGCCCGUAUAUGUGGUUGAUGUUGCUGCUGCAAUCGUUGCAGCUCUCAAGGAUGAUGGCUCCAGCAUGGGGAAAACCUAUGAAUUAGGUGGUCCAGAUGUCUUUACCCCUGGAAUCAAAGAGUCGAGCCACAUCGCUUAAUCACUGUGAGUCACGGUUAACUGAUUGUUAACGAAUUAUUAAUGCAGGUUCUCUUGCAAGUGUUUCCUUGCAGGCGGAGAUCAUGUUUGAUAUGAUUCGUGAAUGGCCUCGAUAUGUGAAGCUUCCAUUUCCAAUUGCUAAGGUAACAGAUCAAAUCGUUCGCCGUCUAGGGUAAAAACUCCUAAGGAUUUUUAUGUGCACCUUUGUCAGAGAAAGCGUUGCGUAUUAGAACUAAAGAAGCCUAUAUUGUUAAGGAUCUUUGUUUUUGUUUUUCAAAUGAUACUAAUUUUGUAUAUGUCACAAUCUGUUCUAGGCAAUGGCGGGUCCUCGGGAUUUCAUGGUGAACAAGGUCCCGUUCCCUUUACCAUCCCCACAGAUCUUCAAUCUGGAUCAAAUCAAUGCGCUUACAACCGAUACACUUGUAUCUGACAAGGGUUAGUCAUUUCUUCACAGAAGUGAAAUAAGUUCUCUUUGCAUGAUCUGUUUGAGUGUCUCACUCCUUUGUUAUUUCGACACAAUGGCUAUUUUCAGCCUUGACUUUUCAGGAUUUGGACCUUGUCCCUCAUAAAUUGAAGGGAUAUCCAGUCGAGUUUCUUAUCCAGUAUCGCAAGGGUGGUCCUAAUUUCGGUUCUACCGUCAGUGAAAAGAUACCAACAGACUUCUACAAUUGAUGAUGCUUCUACUCAAAGGUCGUUUUCCUGGACUAAUUUUGAUUCAUGCAAGUCUCACAGUGAAAUGGCAGAAACUAGAUAUGGUAUUUUGAUGCCUUUCAUUUUCUUCUGUCAAAUAAUAAAAGGGUUUCCUCUUCUCUUUGUUGUGUUCUGAAAGAAAGUGUAACCCGUCAACAUGAUUAUAAGUUAGAGAGGAGACGUUUUCUGUCUUUUUUGAAUGGGAGAUUUAUUCCCCGUAUGAUUAUGUAGUUUCUGGUUCGUUUGAAACUUCAUGUGCUACUUUGCUCUUGAGUCUUGAAUAUAACUAAGCCCAUGUGCUUCCGUUUUUGCAUUCCAUAUUAGUAUAACUAGGGAUGUUAACAUGGGUAUUGCCUAUGGGUUUACCCAAACCCACUAAUGAUGGGUUGGGUUUUUACCCAUCUAAGAUUAAUUGGGUCAACCAUGAGUAUUUUAAUUUUAAAACUCAUAUUUAUGUUGAGUAACAAAAGGCUAAUGGUGUACCCGUGGGUUUUCAAUUAUAUAUAUAGAUUUACACCAUUUUAACUAAAAUAUAUAAAAUUUGUAAAAACGUUCUUUUUCGCCAGAACCAAAAAAUGAAUUUUUUCACCAAAAUCGAAAACAGGUUUUCUGCCAAAAUCUAACAAAUUUUCCCGCCAAAACCGUAAAAACAAGUUUUUUCGCCAAAACCGCAAAAAACGAGUUUUUCCGCCAAAACCAGAAAGAUUAUUUUUCCCGCAAACCGCAAAAAUCGAGUUUUCUAACCAAAACCACAAAAAAAAAAUUUACCGACCAAAAACCGCAAAAAUAAAAUUUUCCGCUAAAACCACAAAAACAACUUAACAAGUUUUCUCCAUAAAUGAGUUUUCCUGUCAAAACGAUGUUUACUGCUAAAACCGCAAAAUGAGUUUUCCGGUUAAAAUUGCAAAAUAAUUUUUUUUUCCGAAAAAGCGAGUUUUCCACCAAAAUCGUAAACGAGUUUUUGCGCUAAAACAAGUUUUCUAUAAAAUUGCAAAAUCUUGUUUAUAUAUUAAAGCUCACAUUAAUGAUAUUAAUAUUUUACAUGAUCUUCAGAGUAAAUAAGAUAAUACUUUGGGUACCCACGGGUAAACCUAUACCACAUUGGGUUACUUUUUUGGUUUGGAUUUCAACAUUGAUGUUUCUAGGUUGUUGCAGGUUGGGUAUAAACUGGGUUGGAUUAUUUGUGGGUUAGGUUGGGCCCAAGUUAUUUUACCCUAGGUUAACAUCCCUAAGUAUAACUAAAGCCCUAAGAAAACUUAAGUACACCUCUUAUAUGGUUAAGAGGGUAUUUUCUACUCGGUUAUCUAUACUAUUAAAUCAGAAUCCCAAUCCUGCCAAUAGUUUUUGAAGUUAUUUACAAGAGAAUGUCAUUUCCUAAUUUGAAUUUUUUUUAAUUAAUUCGCUUACUAAAUUUAUAACCUAACAUUUAAAAUAAAAAUUCGACCCGUAAUUAAUUCGCUUGCUUUAUAUAUAACUUCUCAUAUUUAUAUUCAAAAUAUUUAUAACAGUCAUAUUGAUAACCGGCCAUAUUUACUAUAUAUAAGAUCUUUAUUUAAAAAGAAACAAAUCCCGCGCUUUAAAAGAGCGGGUCAAAAUCUAGUUUGCGGAUUAUGAAACGUUAAAUACCGGUCUUAGUUUUGAGGGUGGGUAAUGAAUCUUAAUUAUGCAAAUCUUAGAAUAUAGCACUUUGCUUCUGCUUGUGGAAAAGAAGUAAAGAAUUUUAGGGAACCUCGAGAACCAAGCAACGCAUUUAGAGCUAAAUAUCAAAUCACCAAAGGAAUAGGACAGUCUCAAUUUUAGCUUCAUCCAAACAAAAUGGAAAGCGAAGGAGACGAUUAUCCGGGGCCUGAAUCCGGCAUUGAAGGAAUCAACUUGAACGGGAGAAAUGUAGGGGCCGUGAUGGUGGCGCCUAGGGAUGUAGACGUAGCAAGUCAGAGUGGAUGCAGGGUCAACAUAUACGUGAACAGCAACGUUCAAGCGACUUGUGGGUCAGCUCUGUUUGGUAGCAAGGUCAAGCUAAGAGACCCUGGUGUUCAUCUCCAUAUCGAAGACGUUAAAAUCCCCCGCGAAGACGGAUCUAGACAGAAAGAGAUGAGGUUGAUUAAGGUUGGGUUAUGUUUGCUCUGUCUCUUUAACGUCUCUCUAGGACUCUUUCUCUUGCUCUCCUCUUGGCUCCGGAAGUAAACCUAGUCCAUAUAGAUAUCUCCCCAUCCACCCAUGUUCAUGGUAAGAAGAACGAUAUUCUGUAAUUGUUUCUUCGUAUAGUCACUUACACUAAGAUGUACAUUUUUAGAUUAUUCUGAUACGGUUGAUAUCUACAUUUACAAGGG
rnacentral:lncRNA from 1 species